UACGGGGGGGGCAAGCGUUGUUCGGAAUUACUGGGCGUAAAGGGCUCGUAGGCGGCCAACUAAGUCAGACGUGAAAUCCCUCGGCUUAACCGGGGAACUGCGUCUGAUACUGGAUGGCUCGAGUUUGGGAGAGGGAUGCGGAAUUCCAGGUGUAGCGGUGAAAUGCGUAGAUAUCUGGAGGAACACCGGUGGCGAAGGCGGUUCUCUGGGCCUGACCUGACGCUGAGGAGCGAAAGCGUGGGGAGCGAACAGG
rnacentral:rRNA from 1 species